AGUGGCGGACUGGUGAGUAACGCGUGAGCAACCUGCCUAUUAGAGGGGAAUAACAGUGAGAAAUCAUUGCUAAUACCGCAUAUGCUUACACUAUUGCAUGAUAGAGUAAGGAAAGGAGCAAUCCGCUAAUAGAUGGGCUCGCGUCUGAUUAGCUAGUUGGUGGGGUAGAAGCCUACCAAGGCAAUGAUGCAUAGCCGAGUUGAGAGACUGAUCGGCCACAUUGGGACUGAGACACGGCCCAAACUCCUACGGGAGGCAGCAGUAGGGAAUCUUCCACAAUGGACGCAAGUCUGAUGGAGCAACGCCGCGUGAGUGAAGAAGGGUUUCGGCUCGUAAAGCUCCGUUGGUAGUGAAGAAAGAUAGAGGUAGUAACUGGCCUUUAUUUGACGGUAAUUACCUAGAAAGUCACGGCUAACUACGUGCCAGCAGCCGCGGUAAUACGUAGGUGGCAAGCGUUGUCCGGAUUUAUUGGGCGUAAAGCGAGUGCAGGCGGUUCAAUAAGUCUGAUGUGAAAGCCUUCGGCUCAACCGGAGAAUUGCAUCAGAAACUGUUGAACUUGAGUGCAGAAGAGGAGAGUGGAACUCCAUGUGUAGCGGUGGAAUGCGUAGAUAUAUGGAAGAACACCAGUGGCGAAGGCGGCUCUCUGGUCUGCAACUGACGCUNAGGCUCGAAAGCAUGGGUAGCGAACAGGAUUANAUACCCUGGUA
rnacentral:rRNA from 1 species